GCUGCGCGAUCCUUUCCGUUCUGAGGACGCUGCAGUGCCUCAGGUAGCUGUGAAUGCUCUGUGCUGUAUUUGUUACAUCUCAAUUAUAUUAUGUACGCUAAAACACAGUUUAGUGUUUUAUAUUUAUAUUUGCUUAAAACGCCGAUGUGGCUUGUCGUUAACGCUAAUUCAAGACCUGCAAAGUGACACCGCAGCGCUUCUGGCCUCGCCUUUAGUCAGAGAGCAACAUGUUUAAUCCAGUGCGACUUGAUGCUAUUGCGUUAAUCGUGUUGCAGAUCAUAUCUACUUGAACUGAACAAUGAUGUGCUGAAGUUGCAGCAGUUUCCCAAUUUGGUGGGAGGAACGGACGUUGCCAGGUAUCUGAUGUCAACCACUUACAACCAAUAGGUGGGCGGAACAAACUUUGCCAGGUAUCCGAUGUCAACCGCUUACAACCAAUAGGUUGGAUUCCAGCAGAAUGGUUGAUCGCUACAGUUGAUGACUACUGGGUUUUCAGCAAAGGGUUUGAAGCCAAUAUGGACGUUGUCUCUAGCCCAUGAAGCUACGUAAGGUUGACGUGAUGCCAGAAUUAUGUGCCAAUGAUGGGCGUAUUCCUUUGAAUGCACAGACCUGUCACUCUGACGGAGGUUUAUGCUGUGGCAGAAGAGUUGUGGUGACCGGUUUGGAGCACGAUGUUGAACCGUCCAGCUUUGUAGUAUUGUGUAUCAUAACUUAAACACUUGUUUCACUGUCAUUGUAUAUCAUUCCCAGAACCGUUUGAGAAAGUAACUGCUUGUUUUUGACUUCGCAGUUCUUUGUAUACUAUUAAAUUGACUACUUUUACGUUGAAUAAAAGUCACCGUUUAUAGCUCAAUAUGAAGUUGCUGAUUUUAUGGAAGUAGCAGGUCCACCUUGAAGGUUUAUGCCUUAAUCUUAUGCAUGUUGUAGGAUACUGUCA